AAGCAGAAUAUCCCUCUCUGUGCCUCCGCUCCCCGGGGAGCCCGGGAGGGGUUGCCCCAUCCUCCCAACCCAACCCAACCCACGCCUGGGGACCUGCUGAUCCGGGCAGGGGAGAAAAAUCGCAUGGGAAGGUUAAUUGGCAGCAGGGAGACAUAAGGUCGUUGGAGCAUCUUUUUUUUGGGUUUUUUUUUGGUUUGUUUUUUUUUUUUUUUUUUGCUGCCUGUUUUGCUGCAGCUCUGCGGGUUUGCCCUCCAUCCCUCCGGCACGGCAUCUUCUCUGUGGGUUUGCCCUCCAUCCCUCCAUCAUGGCAUCUUCUCUGCGUCUUUGCCCUCCAUCCCUCCGGCACGGCAUCUUCUCUGCGUCUUUGCCCUCCAUCCCUCCGGCACGGCAUCCUCUCUGCCUGUCGGACCAGCCCAUCCAGCAGCACCCACCAGCCGGGGCAAAAGCAGGGCACCGAGAAUGGCUGCUCGGGGCCGGGGUUGGGGGUGGAUUUUACAGCAUCCCCCACGGGUCCCUGGCACGGAGGUGAUGUUGGUGAGCUUGAAUGCUGGAAUGCUUUUCCGUGGAGGAAGGCACAGAGCCUCCUCUGUGUUUCCUCCGACUCGCGGUAAUUUCAUUAACUUCUUUCUUUCAUUCAAAGGAGGCCAGACCCCGGCAGCCCGGGACGCGCUGACCCUGGGGAGGCUGCGAUGUCUUGCAGGCUGAAAUCCAUCCUUUCAUUGAUUCCAGCAGGGCCAUCUCCCGGCCCGGCCGAUUCCCCUUGGCUGUGCGCGGAAGAUUAAUCCCCCCCCCAGCUUUCACCCGUUAAUGCAAUCGCUUCUGGGUGAGGGCGCAGCAGCCUUUUACCGGCUGCUCGAGGUUUAUCCCAGGAAGGAGUGAGGGGUUGUAUCCAGCCCCAAAAGGGACCAAAAGGCAGCAAAAAUCCCCACCCAGGGUGGAAACGGGGCAGGAAGAGCAUUUGCCAUAGGAAGAAAAAUGCAUCUUUCCGCAGGAAUCAGGUGCAGGAGUCGUGUAUGGCCACGAGAUCCAUCAUCCCAGCACCCCUUGGCUUCCUGCUGGGACACCUCUGCCUCGAUGGGACCCGGCGUGCUGCCACAAGCCCCCUUCCCAUGGGGACCCCCCACCCCAUGGGGCGGCUCGAUAGGACACGGAGCAGCUGGAUUUGGGAUAAGGCUUUUUUUUUUUUUUUUUCCAAGGCACCCGCCGCCGGCUCCGGCUGCUGCCGACCCUGCAGGAAUGCGCGAGGGCACCGGGAGGCAGAGCCCCUGUUUGUUGUUUUAAUAAAUAGGGAGCAGACAGAUCCGGCGCGGGGAAGCUCUCCUCCGAAGGGCUGGGAAGGAGGGAGGGAGGGAGAGAGGGGAAGACCCCGGCGGAGGGGCUCAGCCCCAUCCUGACCCGAGGCAGGGUGAUGGGCAGCAGGUGGAGGGGCUCCUCUGCAAUGGCUCCUGUCUCCUAUAUUCUUCUUGGUUCAGGCGAGAGGUUGAGGGGUGACAGGCCGUGGGGUCGAGCCCUGGGGGUUUCUUUUCUCGGGGGCUCGCUGCAAACGUCUUUCCUUCCUUCCCCUGCAGCCUGUAGAAGAGGAGGAGGAGGAGGAGGAUGACAACGAUGGUGAUGACGAUGAGGGCUCCCUGCCAUGCUGGCUGCAGAGCCCAGCGCAGGCUCACGCUCCCCCUGCUCCCCUGUUUCACGUACUCAUCCCAGGGCCUGCGUGGUGAUGCGAGAAGGCAGGAGGCUUUUUCCGCGAUCACUGAAGCCCCAGGGACUAGCGGAUCCCACCUAAAGGAUCUCUGGUUUUUCUGUGCGUUUUGACCAGAUGUUUCAGCCUGGAGCUGCACCUCCCAGACCUGACCACGUUGGCGAGAGACCACCUUCCAGGUUUCGCUAUCCCUUUUCCAAGCAGGAAUCGAUUCAGCUCCGGGACUGCUCCAUCCCGGCUGUCGGUCCUGGAGGGUGGAGGGAAGGUGUGAUGCUGAGGUAGGAAAACCAAACGCCUCCAAAAAGUCCUCUCCGCUGUAGAUGGAGAGCCCUGCGUGAAGGACUGUAACACCAGAGCCGGUGCGUGCCCAGAAAUUACA